rnacentral:rRNA from 1 species
AUACGGAGGAUCCGAGCGUUAUCCGGAUUUAUUGGGUUUAAAGGGUGCGCAGGCGGCCAUUUAAGUCAGCGGUUAAAUCGUGGGGCUCAACCCCAUUCUGCCGUUGAUACUGGGUGGCUUGAUUGCGGUCGAGGUUGGCGGAAUUUGUUGGGUAGCGGUGAAAUGCAUAGAUAUGACGAAGAACACCGAUUGCGUAGGCAGCUGACCAGACCGCAAAUGACGCUCAUGCACGAAAGUGCGGGGAUCGAACAGGAUUAGAUACCCUGGUAGUCCGCACAGUAAACGAUGAAUACUUGUUUUCGGCGAUAUAAUGUCGGAGGCAAAGCGAAAGCGAUAAGUAUUCCACCUGGGGAGUACGCCGGCAACGGUGAAACUCAAAUGAAUUGACGGGG